rnacentral:rRNA from 1 species
GACGAACGCUGGCGGCGUGCUUAACACAUGCAAGUCGAACGGAAAGGCCCUGCUUUUGUGGGGUGCUCGAGUGGCGAACGGGUGAGUAACACGUGAGUAACCUGCCCUUGACUUUGGGAUAACUUCAGGAAACUGGGGCGAAUACCGGAUAGGAGCUCCUGCUGCAUGGUGGGGGUUGGAAAGUUUCGGCGGUUGGGGAUGGACUCGCGGCUUAUCAGCUUGUUGGUGGGGUAGUGGCUUACCAAGGCUUUGACGGGUAGCCGGCCUGAGAGGGUGACCGGCCACAUUGGGCCUGCGAUACGGCCCAGACUCCUACGGGCGGCAGCAGUGGGGAAUAUUGCACAAUGGGCGGAAGCCUGAUGCAGCAACGCCGCGUGCGGGAUGACGGCCUUCGGGUUGUAAACCGCUUUCGCCUGUGACGAAGCGUGAGUGACGGUAAUGGGUAAAGAAGCACCGGCUAACUACGUG